GCUGACUCUCUUUUCGGACUCAGCCCGCGUGCACCCAGAUGAAGAAACUGAGGUCCAGAGAAGUUAAACGACCUUCCUAAGAUUACACAGCUUAACUUGCUGAGCACCUUCUAGGUGCCAGAUGCGGUGCUGGCUCCUGGGGACAUGGGAGUGAACAGGCCAGGCGUGGCCCUGAACCAUCAAAUAGACAACCACAGAAAUAACAACGAAUGAUGCUGGAGGCUGACGAAGAUAAGGGUGGAAAGUGGGCAAUAAAUCAGGAGCUGUUGCAACAUUCCCAGCAAAGGAUAAUGGUGAAUAACAAAGACAAAACCGGGCCCUUCCACACAGUAGCUGGAACACAAAGGAAGAUCAGCCAAGCCUCAACAUAAUCUCAUAAAAAUUCUUCAAAUAUCCCAUUGUUAUGGAUUCAUACAUCAGGAAAGCAGAUGCCAAGAACCUGAACACCUUCUACUGGUAACAUAUAUUUUGGCGAGCCAGCCUGGAGACAAGACCACUAUGGGCAACUUCCUGUCUAUUCUACCUGGUGUCACUGUGGACAACUUCCUAUCUAUUCCACCCGAUUCACCGCUUGGCUACAUCCUCCACCAUUGGGAUGAAUUUGACCCUAACAAUCUAAAGAAAAGGCAUAUGAUUUUUUACUG
rnacentral:lncRNA from 10 species